AUCCGCCGGAAGUGCGUCCGUCCGGGCGAGGAAGGAAAUAGGGCGCGGGGCGCCGCCGUGGAAGAACUCCAUUCAGAGGCAGUCGUGAUAAACCAGAGCAUCAGCCCUUUCCGCUGGGAUACCAAUAAGUCUUGAACUUCAAAACUGCUGACCUAAAAAGGAUACUUGAGAAGGAGCAAGUCUUUCCUUUUUUCUUUUAAAGAAAGCAACACCAGAAGCAGUCGAACUUCCUUGUUCACUUAGGUGCAUGCAAAAAAGAAAAGUUUACUCUGCUUCAGGACCCUCUCUUACCCCUCAUGGCGUGAGCCUGAAGCCUGUCCACUGAGGAGCGUUCUAAGAACUUCCAGAUCAUUCCAUGGAACUACAGCAGAAAGGACCCGAGAAGGAAGUAUCGCCGGCGGGACAUCUUUGAGAGGCGACUUCCAGACAUCUUCUGGAACACUCUGAAGCAAGAGCGCCAGCAGCCUUUCAGAAGACCCCAUUCCAUCCCUGCGCCCUCGAUUUCAGCAUUUCUUCAACUGUAUGGAACACACAGACAUACUCUUGGAGGCCUCAGAGUUCUAAAAACGAUCUGCAAAUUUUUGUCUUUUCCUUGGGAUCGCCAUCCAAAAGGAAGUGAUACGUGCGCCUCCUCCGGUGACGCGUUUCUUUUUUAAUUAGUACACUUUAUGUGGACGAGUGGUUUGAGGUUUACAGAGAAACUGAGUGAAAAGUGUAAACUCACCUUCCAGCCCUGACUCCUCCACCUCCAGUUCCCACGGUUAACAGCUUCCGUCCGGGUGGCGUAUUCGUCACAGUUGAGGAGCCCAUAGUAAUACAUUCUUAUUCAUUAAAGCCCAUACUUGGCACUAGGGUUCAUUCUCUGCGUUAUACAUCCUAGGAGUUUUGACAAAUGCAAUGACUCCUUUUUGUCCGAGGACCACCAGAGAGAUUUUCAGUCUUACCUUGCUUUUGUGUUUCGAGACCGGUUCCGCUUUAAUUGUCCCGGAUGAGUAAGACAGGAACAGAGUUGGACUUAAUAGGCAACACGUGAUGUCAGUUUUAGUGAUGGAAACUCACACGCCUCAGACAUGAAGGUUUGUCUGUGGUUCAGAAGAAGAAACGGGUUUGCUUGGAGUUACCCCAAGGCUUGCUGUGGUCCGCCCUCCCCAAGGCAGACGCCGUCAUCGCUGCCGUGUUCACAUCCUGAAAGGUGAUGUUUGUUUCAGCAAAUAGUAUUUCUCACAUUAAUAUAAGGCUAUUGCAAUAUCGCUGACAUUGUAGUUUGCAUUUGCCUUUGCAUUUGGAGGCGUAGUUUAAUUUGUAAGUUUGCACCACUGUGAGUAUAGGGACUUUAUACCUAGUCAUAUGCCCAUAAUUAAGAAAUGCUUUAGAGAAAAUAUUUGUACAUGAUAUGACUGAUAGGAGGGGACUAUCCAAAAUAUGUAACAGCUCAUACAACUCAGUAUCAAAAAAAAAAACAAACAAAACACAAUUAAACGUGGGCAGAAGACCUUGAUAGAUGUUUUUCUAGAGAAGACAGGCAGAAGGCCAACAGCCACAUGAAAAAAUGGUCGCUAUAAUUACACCAGAGAAAUGUGAGUCAAAGUCGCCAUGAGAACACCUCACAGCUGUCAGAAUGGCUACCAUCAAAAAGACCACACAUAACAAACAUUGGCAAGGAUGUGGCGAAAAGAAACACUUGCACACUGCUGGUGGGCGUGUAAACUAGUGCAGUCACUGUGGACGUCAAUGUGGGGGUUCCUCCAAAACUAAAAGUAGAACUACCACAUGAUUCCGCAAUUCCACUCCUGAGUGUGUGUCCCAAGAAACUGAAAGCACUCAUUUGAAAAGAUGUGUGCACCCUGGUGUUUGCAGCAGCAUUAUUUAUGGCAGCCAAGAGGCGGAAGCAAGCCAAGUGCCCAUCCAUGGAUGAAUGAAGAAAAUGUGGUGUAUAUGUAGAUAUUCGUGUGUGUGCGUGUGCGUGUGCGUGUGCGUGCCAUACAAAGAAGGAGAUUCUGCCAUUUGGAGCAAUAUCAAUGGACCUCGAGAAUAUUAUGCUCAGUGAAAUAAGACAGACAGAGAAAGAUAGAUACCGUAUGAUAAAAAUUGUACGUGGAAUCUAAGAAAUAAAACAAACGAAUGUAU
rnacentral:lncRNA from 1 species